rnacentral:rRNA from 1 species
GACAGAGGAUGCAAGCGUUAUCCGGAAUGAUUGGGCGUAAAGCGUCUGUAGGUGGCUUUUAAGUCUGCCGUCAAAUCCCAGGGCUUAACCCUGGACAGGCGGUGGAAACUACCAAGCUGGAGUACGGUAGGGGCAGGGGGAAUUUCCGGUGGAGCGGUGAAAUGCGUAGAGAUCGGAAAGAACACCAACGGCGAAAGCACUCUGCUGGGCCGACACUGACACUGAGGAGCGAAAGCAUGGGGAGCGAACAGG